rnacentral:misc_RNA from 1 species
AACAUCGCGCACCUGCGGGAACUGCGGAAGGAUCAUUACAGAGUUGCAAAACUCCCUAAACCAUUGUGAACGUUACCUAAACCGUUGCUUCGGCGGGCGGCCCGGGUCCUUCCCGGCGCCCAUCGGCCCUCGCGGGCGCCCGCCGGAGGUAAACCAAACUAUUGCAUUGUAUGGCCUCUCUGAGUCUUCUGUACUGAAUAAGUCAAAACUUUUAACAACGGAUCUCAGAUCGGAAGAGCA